AUUGAACGCUGGCGGCAGGCCUAACACAUGCAAGUCGAACGAGUGGCGGACGGGUGAGUAAUGUCUGGGAAACUGCCUGAUGGAGGGGGAUAACUACUGGAACCGGUAGCUAAUACCGCAUACCAUCAGAUGUGCCCAGAUGGGUUUAGUUUGUUGGUGGGGUAACGGAGCACCAAGGCGACGAUCCCUAGCUGGUCUGCCAGGAUGAACAGCCACACUAGAACGGAAACACGGUCCAGACUCCUAUGGGAGGCAGCGGGGGGGAAUAUUGCACAAGGGGCGCAGGCCUGAUGCGGCCAUGCCGCGUGUAUGGAGAAGGCCUUCGGGUUGGAAAGUACUUUCAGCGGGGAGGCGUUACCCGCAGAAGAAGCACCGGCUAACUCCGUGCCAGCAGCCGCGGUAAUAC
rnacentral:rRNA from 1 species